rnacentral:lncRNA from 14 species
UGUAAAUAUGACACAGUGAUCCCAAACAGCAGCAGGUAGGAAUUAAGCUGUGGGUUCUAAAUACUUCAUAUGUUAAGGACAAAGGCAGCAUGGGUUCAAACUUAAACAGGGGGAGUUCAGGUUAGAUAUAAGGAGGAAGUUCUUUACUGUAAGGGUGGUGAGGCACUGAAAUGGGUUGUCUGGGGAGGCUGUGAAUGCUCCAUCCCUGGCAGUGUUCAAGGCCAGGUUGGACAGAGCCUUGGGUGGCAUGGUUUGGUGUGAGGUGUCCCUGCCCAUGGCAGGGGGGUUGGAACUGGAUGAUCUUAAGGUCAUUUCCAACUGCAGCUGUUCUGUGGUUCUAUGGUUCCAUGUGCUGUUUUUCUGAUGGACACAUCACUUUAGAGGGAGAGUGUCCUGGACCUCAGAGCUGGUAACGAUGUCUCCAGAGAAGGUCCUCUCUGGCAUGGCUGAGGCAAAGUCUCUCUCACAGCUGCUCUGAAGAGUGCAUUUACAUGUGUGCCACUUUAUUCACUUACAGUAUCACCCCUCAUGGAUUAGGAGCAGAGGGGGAGAAGAUUGAAGUGUUGAAACUUGCUUCCUCAGGAAGGAUUUCUGCAGGUCCUCUGCUGCUACUCUGCCAUGAUGGGAGACAUCUUUUAGGGGAAUCCAUGCAUCACAAUGCAGUAUGUCAGUGUUGUGUUUGUAAAUGUUGUAAAUAUUAUGACUUUGGUAACAGUUGUUGAUGUAUGCCAAGAGAGACAAUAAAACUGGCCACAGGCAGAGCA